rnacentral:rRNA from 1 species
UAGGGAAUCUUCGGCAAUGGACGAAAGUCUGACCGAGCAACGCCGCGUGAGUGAAGAAGGUUUUCGGAUCGUAAAACUCUGUUGUUAGAGAAGAACAAGGACGUUAGUAACUGAACGUCCCCUGACGGUAUCUAACCAGAAAGCCACGGCUAACUACGUGCAAGCAGCCGCGGUAAUACGUAGGUGGCAAGCGUUGUCCGGAUUUAUUGGGCGUAAAGCGAGCGCAGGCGGUUUCUUAAGUCUGAUGUGAAAGCCCCCGGCUCAACCGGGGAGGGUCAUUGGAAACUGGGAGGCUUGAGUGCAGAAGAGGAGAGUGGAAUUCCAUGUGUAGCGGUGAAAUGCGUAGAUAUAUGGAGGAACACCAGUGGCGAAGGCGGCUCUCUGGUCUGUAACUAACGCUGAGGCUCGAAAGCGUGGGGAGCAAACAGG